rnacentral:rRNA from 1 species
AUGGCGGCCAACCGGGGGAUGGUCGCGGGGUCGCACAAUCGCAAUGAGUUCGUCAUGAUCCGCCACGACGGCGACGCGCCCGCCCCGGGUAAGGAGGUAAAAGGCGCGGGUGGUCAGGGCUGCCAGAUAUGUGGUGACACUGUUGGUGUUUCGGCCAGCGGUGAUGUCUUUGUUGCCUGCAAUGAGUGCGCCUUCCCGGUCUGCCGCCCUUGCUAUGAGUAUGAACGCAAGGAUGGGGUCAAAUGCUGUCCUCAGUGCAAGACUAGAUACAAGAGGCUGAAAGGUAGCCCCCGAGUUCCGGGAGAUGAGGAGGAAGAAGAUGUUGAUGACCUGGACAAUGAGUUCAACUACAAGCAAGGGAAUGGCAAAGGUCCAGAGUGGCAGCUGCGGGGUCAAGGAGAAGACAUUGAUUUGUCUUCAUCCUCUCGCCAUGAACCUCAUCAUCGUAUUCCUCGGCUGACAAGUGGACAACAGAUCUCGGGGGAAAUCCCCGAUGCUUCCCCUGAUCGCCACUCUAUUCGCAGCCCAACAUCAAGCUAUGUCGAUCCAAGUGUCCCAGUUCCUGUGAGGAUUGUGGACCCUUCGAAGGACUUGAACUCCUAUGGGCUUAACAGUGUUGACUGGAAGGAAAGAGUUGAAAGCUGGAGGGUUAAGCAGGACAAAAACAUGAUGCAGGUGACCAAUAAAUAUCCAGAUGCAAGAGGAGGAGGAGGAGACAUGGAAGGAACUGGCUCAAAUGGCGAAGAUAUGCAAAUGGUUGAUGAUGCACGUUUACCUCUGAGCCGUAUAGUGCCUAUUCCUGCAAACCAGCUCAACCUUUACCGGAUAGUGAUCAUUCUCCGACUUAUCAUCCUGUGCUUCUUCUUCCAGUAUCGUGUGACUCAUCCAGUGCGUGAUGCUUAUGGAUUAUGGCUAGUGUCUGUUAUCUGUGAGAUUUGGUUCGCCUUGUCUUGGCUUCUAGAUCAGUUUCCAAAAUGGUAUCCAAUCAACCGUGAAACAUACCUUGACAGGCUUGCAUUGAGGUAUGAUAGGGAGGGAGAGCCAUCACAGCUGUGUCCCAUUGAUAUCUUUGUCAGUACAGUGGAUCCACUGAAGGAACCUCCCCUGAUCACAGCAAAUACUGUUCUGUCCAUUCUUGCUGUGGAUUACCCUGUCGACAAAGUGUCAUGCUAUGUUUCUGAUGAUGGUUCAGCUAUGUUAACGUUUGAGUCGCUCUCAGAAACUGCAGAAUUUGCUAGGAAGUGGGUUCCGUUUUGCAAGAAGCACAACAUUGAACCAAGGGCCCCGGAGUUUUACUUUCAGCAAAAAAUAGAUUACCUAAAGGACAAAAUCCAGCCUUCUUUUGUGAAGGAAAGACGAGCAAUGAAGAGAGAGUACGAAGAAUUUAAAAUACGAAUCAAUGCACUUGUUGCCAAAGCCCAAAAAGUGCCUGAAGAGGGGUGGACCAUGGCCGAUGGCACCGCUUGGCCUGGGAAUAACCCUAGGGACCAUCCUGGCAUGAUUCAGGUGUUCUUGGGGCACAGUGGUGGCCUUGACACUGAUGGUAAUGAGUUGCCACGGCUUGUGUAUGUCUCUCGUGAAAAGAGACCAGGUUUCCAGCAUCACAAGAAGGCUGGUGCAAUGAAUGCACUGAUUCGCGUAUCUGCUGUAUUGACAAAUGGUGCCUAUCUUCUUAAUGUGGAUUGUGAUCACUACUUCAAUAGCAGCAAAGCUCUUAGAGAAGCAAUGUGCUUCAUGAUGGAUCCCGCUCUAGGAAGGAAAACUUGCUAUGUCCAAUUUCCACAAAGAUUUGACGGCAUUGAUUUGCACGAUCGAUAUGCUAAUCGCAACAUAGUUUUCUUUGAUAUCAACAUGAAAGGUUUAGAUGGCAUUCAGGGUCCAAUGUAUGUCGGGACAGGAUGCUGUUUCAAUAGGCAGGCCUUGUAUGGCUAUGAUCCUGUAUUAACUGAGGCUGAUUUGGAACCUAACAUUGUUGUUAAGAGCUGCUGCGGUGGCAGAAAGAAAAAGAGCAAGAGCUAUAUGGAUAACAAAAACCGUAUGAUGAAGAGAACCGAGUCUUCUGCUCCCAUCUUCAACAUGGACGAUAUAGAAGAGGGUAUAGAAGGUUAUGAGGAUGAAAGGUCCAUGCUUAUGUCCCAGAAGAGAUUGGAGAAACGAUUUGGUCAGUCUCCUAUAUUUACUGCAUCCACCUUUAUGACUCAAGGAGGCAUACCACCUUCAACGAACCCAGCUUCCCUACUAAAGGAAGCCAUCCAUGUCAUCAGCUGUGGAUAUGAGGACAAAACCGAAUGGGGAAAAGAGAUUGGCUGGAUCUAUGGUUCAGUUACUGAAGAUAUUCUUACUGGGUUUAAAAUGCACGCAAGAGGAUGGAUAUCAAUCUACUGCAUGCCACCGCGGCCUUGUUUCAAGGGUUCUGCACCAAUCAAUCUCUCUGACCGUCUUAAUCAAGUUCUCCGAUGGGCUCUUGGGUCUGUUGAAAUUCUGUUUAGCAGACAUUGUCCUAUCUGGUACAAUUACGGUGGGCGGUUGAAACUUCUGGAGAGGGUGGCUUACAUCAACACCAUUGUUUAUCCAAUAACAUCCCUCCCACUUAUUGCCUAUUGUGUCCUUCCUGCUAUCUGUCUGCUCACCAACAAAUUUAUCAUUCCCGAGAUCAGUAACUAUGCUGGGAUGUUCUUUAUUCUUAUGUUUGCCUCCAUCUUUGCCACUGGUAUAUUGGAGCUCCGAUGGAGUGGUGUCGGCAUCGAGGACUGGUGGAGAAACGAGCAGUUUUGGGUUAUUGGUGGCACAUCUGCCCAUCUUUUCGCAGUGUUCCAGGGUCUGCUGAAGGUGUUGGCCGGGAUCGACACCAACUUCACGGUUACCUCGAAGGCAAACGACGAGGACGGCGACUUUGCCGAGCUAUAUGUGUUCAAGUGGACCAGUCUCCUCAUCCCUCCGACCACCGUCCUUGUGAUUAACCUGGUGGGCAUGGUGGCAGGCAUAUCAUAUGCCAUCAACAGCGGUUACCAGUCCUGGGGUCCACUCUUUGGAAAGCUCUUCUUCUCAAUCUGGGUGAUCCUCCAUCUCUACCCCUUCCUCAAGGGUCUCAUGGGGAAGCAGAACCGCACGCCAACCAUCGUCAUUGUUUGGUCCAUCCUCCUCGCCUCCAUCUUCUCCCUCCUGUGGGUGAAGAUCGACCCUUUCAUAUCCGAUACCCAGAAAGCCGUCGCUAUGGGGCAGUGCGGCGUCAACUGCUGA